AGUGAACGCUGGCGGUAGGCCUAACACAUGCAAGUCGAACGGCAGCACAGUAAGAGCUUGCUCUUACGGGUGGCGAGUGGCGGACGGGUGAGGAAUACAUCGGAAUCUACUUUUUCGUGGGGGAUAACGUAGGGAAACUUACGCUAAUACCGCAUACGACCUACGGGUGAAAGCAGGGGAUCUUCGGACCUUGCGCGAUUGAAUGAGCCGAUGUCGGAUCGGCUAGCUGGCGGGGUAACGGCCCACCAAGGCGACGAUCCGUAGCUGGUCUGAGAGGAUGAUCGGCCACACUGGAGCUGAGACAGGGUCCAGACUCCUACGGGAGGCAGCAGUGGGGAAUAUUGGACAAUGGGCGCAAGCCUGAUCCAGCCAUACCGCGUGGGUGAAGAAGGCCUUCGGGUUGUAAAGCCCUUUUGUUGGGAAAGAAAAGCAGCAGGUUAAUACCCCGCUGUUCUGACGGUACCCAAAGAAUAAGCACCGGCUAACUUCGUG
rnacentral:rRNA from 1 species